UACAGAGGUCCCAAGCGUUGUUCGGAUUCAUUGGGCGUAAAGGGUGCGUAGGCGGCGCGGUAAGUCGGGUGUGAAAUCUCGGGGCUUAACUCCGAAACUGCAUUCGAUACUGCCGUGCUUGAGGACUGGAGAGGAGACUGGAAUUUACGGUGUAGCGGUGAAAUGCGUAGAUAUCGUAAGGAAGACCAGUGGCGAAGGCGGGUCUCUGGACAGUUCUUGACGCUGAGGCACGAAGGCUAGGGGAGCAAACGGG
rnacentral:rRNA from 1 species